CUCCCAUGUAGAGACCUAGAGAGAGACAUUUGAGUAGUCAUGUGUCCCUGCUUUCAAGCUUGUUCCCUGCGUGCCAUGUCUGUGACGGAGGCGGAAUACGGUGGGCACUGGUGUGGAGCAUAAUAAUGCUGAGUUCUGCCCGAAGAGCACUGAGGGACCCAUGAACCAACCGAGAGGCAAAUCAGCCACAGCGGGAAAAGCAAGAGGACACUUCCGAACCUAUUACAUUUACUUACUGGGGCAAAAAUCCUUAGCUUGUCCGUGGCAGCAGAAUCCAGGCAAUCGGCCUCUCAGCACAGGGUUCCAGGUUUGGAGGCGUGGGGCCUGUUUGUUUUGGAGAGAUCUGUCCACCAGGUGGUAGAAGCUUCCCGUUCAGGAAAUGAGCCCUGAAGCAGUCAGGCCGGUGGACUCCAUCUGGCUUGAGCACAACAAAGGGCUCCACUGUGCAGCCACAUUCUGGCCCAGAACGCGCCUGCAGGUAACAGCACCCAGACCCUGCCCUAGCCUGACUCCUGGGCUCAAGGUUCUGACUUACAUCUCUGUGCAUUUAUGGAUUGUAGGGUUUUAAAAGGAAGGCAGUCAUCUGAGGGCUGACUCUUCCUCAUCAAAAACAAAACUCUCUGCUUUGCUCAAGUGUGACUCAAUUUAUCCAUUUCUCAGGUGUUUUUACCUCCAUGUUAGGGCAAAGCUUGACUGGGGGCUCUCGAAUGUUUGACAAACAGGUUACAGAUCAUUCUCUGUUGUCAGAGAUAGCAUUAUGGGGAAUGAUAAAAUAAAAACAUUUUAAAUGUC